GGUGCAUGUAUCUUUUUUAUUUAUAAUUUUGUCCGGAUAUAUAGGUCUGGGAGGAUUCUAAUAUCAGUUCUGUCACUCACCCAAGGUGGGACUUUGCAAUUUAUUCAAUUUCCUUAUCUGUCAAAUGGGCAUGAAAAUCCCCAGGUCGCCUGCCUUACAGGGCUGUAAAGCGAAUUAGAUGGGCUCAUCGAUAAGAAACUAAUCUGAAAAUUAAAAAGAGCUUCAGCUUCCAGCUUUCCACGACUCCUCCGCCUGAGUUCACCCUGAAAUCUCUGAAGGCUGCAACAUCAUGGCCCAAACGGGGGCUGUUCUGUUGCCUUCCUGGGCUCCUCCGAAAGGUCAAAUGACACUGCAGCUGGGAAUUGGGAAGAACCAGCCUUAGCUCAGCCCUGAGCUAAGAGCAGAUGACAAGAUGGAAAAACUGGCUCUAAAAGCAGUUCUGGCCCUGGCGGGGGUCCACACGCAGCUGUGCUGUCACCCGGGAGCCUAGGCGGUCAAGGGCUGCGUUUCCAGUCUUCCACACACCCAUCUUGCAUGGGGCCCAUGGGACUCUGUGUUUCUGAAGGCUCCCCUUGUUCUCUCUGUUCUGGAAGCCAGUCCCUUCCUCAACGGCUGUCCACCUUACUGCCUCUUUUGACUUCUUUGUGAGCCGGAAUCAAGAGAUUGGAAUCAAGUGAUCUCAUACUCUGAAAAAACUGAGCUGAAGCUGCCGAAGUGUCCAGGCUGCAUUGCUGGAUUUUCCCAAAGCUGUGUGCUUUGGUGACGGGGGCACUGAGCCGAAAGGCCUUCCCCAGCGGUGAGGUUAUCAUUAGUUCCAGAGACCUGACCGGAAGUGCGUCCACAUUCAGGGACAAAACGGCACCGAUGCAGAAGAGGAGACUUGCGUCCACACUCAUGUGGAUGUGACCUGUGAUGUGCAGGGCUGCGGCUCUUCCUGCUUCGCCCUUCUGCCCGCCCCCACCCAGCCCUCACCUCAGUCUGUCGGCCAGAGUUUACGUGGUUUUGCCCUGGAGGCCCUGCCGCCCACCUCACCCCCAGUGCCCCUUCCACACAGCCCUCCUGGUGUGGGGAGAUGGUGGACUCCAGCCAGGGAUGACACCCAGCCCCUCCGUGGGAAACCGGGCCGAGAAAGUUUGGCCCUGGGACGUUCCUGUCCCCGUGCUCCCUCCCUCCCAGGCCCCCCACCUGCCAAGCGCCUCUGUGUCUGCCCAGGCCUGGGUUCCCAGACCUUGUGCAUCUGGCCUGGCUCUCUUUCUCCAAAUGACCCCUGGCCCAGGUACCCUGCUUGCCUCUGCUGCUGGCUGUACCCUUCCCUCCCGAGGAUGGGCAAAGAUGGCAUUCGGAGGCUUUGGUUUGGCACCUCUUAAGGACAAGAGUUAAUAAAGAAAUGAAAAGAGGCCCGGAGGUGAAGGUAGGCCUGGCUGGAAUCUCAGCGUUCAGACCCGUGGGAUGUGGAGCCUGCCCUGAGCGAUACCUCUCAGCACAGCCUGGUGUCAUGAGCCCUUGGUGAACUGUGAUACUGUUUUCAUGUUGUGGGGUCGCUCCUUGUCUACCCACUUCUCUGAGUCCCUGCCCCCUCCCUUGGGAUAGCCCCCUCUUCUCCCCUCCCCCGCACUGAGGAUCUCCUUGCCCCUCCCUGCUGCCUCUCAGCAUGGGCCUCGGCCCGGCGCUGGGCCAGCCCUGACAGCUAUGCCUCCUACUUUGGCUCGGGACUCCCUCCUCGUCCUGGCCAGCUCUGCAGACCCUCCUGGAGUGUGAAGAGGCAUGCGUGCCAUCACCUGGGUGACCCGCUGUCACAGUCUCCCAAGUCCAGGGAGCAGUGUGCAGCCGAAGGCUGAGCCUCCGCUGGUCCAGGUGGUGGCAGGCUUGCUGUCCUCUGCGUGGCCUCCCUGGCCAGCCAGUGACCAGCCUCCGUCGCCAGCUCCUUCUCUCGAGCCUGCAGAGGCAGUGAAGGAGUUCACAGUGGCAGCUUUUGGGUGUGAGGCUCCAAUGAGUUGUGCUCAGAUGCCCGUGGAAGGCUCCCUAUAUGCCAGGGUGUGACAUUGCACGUUAGUGGCUAUUAAGACCA